rnacentral:rRNA from 1 species
CCCACCUCUUCCCAUUCCGAACAGAGAAGUUAAGCCCACUUACGCCGAUGGUACUGCAAUGCAAUGCGGGAGAGUAGGAAGCCGCCUU